rnacentral:rRNA from 1 species
GGUGAACGCUGGCGGUAGGCCUAACACAUGCAAGUCGAACGGCAGCACAGUAAGAGCUUGCUCUUACGGGUGGCGAGUGGCGGACGGGUGAGGAAUACAUCGGAAUCUACUUUUUCGUGGGGGAUAACGUAGGGAAACUUACGCUAAUACCGCAUACGACCUACGGGUGAAAGCAGGGGAUCUUCGGACCUUGCGCGAUUGAAUGAGCCGAUGUCGGAUUAGCUAGUUGGCGGGGUAAAGGCCCACCAAGGCGACGAUCCGUAGCUGGUCUGAGAGGAUGAUCAGCCACACUGGAACUGAGACACGGUCCAGACUCCUACGGGAGGCAGCAGUGGGGAAUAUUGGACAAUGGGCGCAAGCCUGAUCCAGCCAUACCGCGCGGGUGAAGAAGGCCUUCGGGUUGUAAAGCCCUUUUGUUGGGAAAGAAAAGCAGCAGGUUAAUACCCCGCUGUUCUGACGGUACCCAAAGAAUAAGCACCGGCUAACUUCGUG